rnacentral:siRNA from 1 species
CUGAUUCAAAAACUGCUCUGAC